UGGGGAAUUUUGGACAAUGGACGCAAGUCUGAUCCAGCCAUGCCGCGUGCGGGAAGAAGGCCUUCGGGUUGUAAACCGCUUUUGUCAGGGAAGAAACGAGUUUCUCUAAUACAGAGACUUAAUGACGGUACCGUAAGAAUAAGCACCGGCUAACUACGUGCCAGCAGCCGCGGUAAUACGUAGGGUGCGAGCGUUAAUCGGAAUUACUGGGCGUAAAGCGUGCGCAGGCGGUUAUAUAAGACAGAUGUGAAAUCCCCGGGCUCAACCUGGGAACUGCAUUUGUGACUGCAUAGCUGGAGUGCGGCAGAGGGGGAUGGAAUUCCGCGUGUAGCAGUGAAAUGCGUAGAUAUGCGGAGGAACACCGAUGGCGAAGGCAAUCCCCUGGGCCUGCACUGACGCUCAUGCACGAAAGCGUGGGGAGCAAACA
rnacentral:rRNA from 1 species